UACGGAGGAUGCAAGCGUUAUCCGGAAUUAUUGGGCGUAAAGCGUCCGUAGGUGGUAUAGAAAGUCUGUUGUUAAAUCCCACAGCUCAACUGUGGAUCGGCAAUGGAAACUACUAAACUUGAGUGUGGUAGGGGUAGAGGGAAUUCCUAGUGUAGCGGUGAAAUGCGUAGAUAUUAGGAAGAACACCAGUGGCGAAGGCGCUCUACUGGGCCAUAACUGACACUGAUGGACGAAAGCUAGGGGAGCGAAAGGG
rnacentral:rRNA from 1 species